AUUGAACGCUGGCGGCAGGCCUAACACAUGCAAGUCGAGCGGAUGAAGGGAGCUUGCUCCUGGAUUCAGCGGCGGACGCGUGAGUAAUGCCUAGGAAUCUGCCUGGUAGUGGGGGAUAACGUCCGGAAACGGGCGCUAAUACCGCAUACGUCCUGAGGGAGAAAGUGGGGGAUCUUCGGACCUCACGCUAUCAGAUGAGCCUAGGUCGGAUUAGCUAGUUGGUGGGGUAAAGGCCUACCAAGGCGACGAUCCGUAACUGGUCUGAGAGGAUGAUCAGUCACACUGGAACUGAGACACGGUCCAGACUCCUACGGGAGGCAGCAGUGGGGAAUAUUGGACAAUGGGCGAAAGCCUGAUCCAGCCAUGCUGCGUGUGUGAAGAAGGUCUUCGGAUUGUAAAGCACUUUAAGUUGGGAGGAAGGGCAGUAAGUUAAUACCUUGCUGUUUUGACGUUACCAACAGAAUAAGCACCGGCUAACUUCGUG
rnacentral:rRNA from 1 species